rnacentral:ncRNA from 1 species
GAAUCCUGCCUGUUUACCAAAAACAUAACCUCUAGCAUUACAAGUACUGAGGCAAUGCCUGCCCAGUGACUGAGUUAAACAGCUGCGGUGUCCUGACCGUGAAAAUGUAGCAUAAUCACUUGCUCCUUAAUUAGGGACUAGAAUGAAUGGCUAAACGAGGAUUC